rnacentral:rRNA from 1 species
UACGGAGGGUGCAAACGUUAUUCGGAAUUACUGGGCUUAAAGAGUUCGUAGGCGGCAUGAAAAGUAGGGUUUGAAAGCCCUCGGCUCAACCGAGGAAUUGCGCUCUAAACUGUCGUGCUCGAGGAACCUAGAGGUGAGCAGAACAGAUGGUGGAGCGGUGAAAUGCGUUGAUAUCAUCUGGAAUACCGGAGGCGAAGGCGGCUCACUGGGGGUUUUCUGACGCUGAGGAACGAAAGCCAGGGUAGCGAACGGG